CAGCAGCAGCCGCGGGAAUACAGAGGGUGCGAGCGUUAAUCGGAUUUACUGGGCGUAAAGCGUGCGUAGGCGGCUUUUUAAGUCGGAUGUGAAAUCCCUGAGCUUAACUUAGGAAUUGCAUUCGAUACUGGGAAGCUAGAGUAUGGGAGAGGAUGGUAGAAUUCCAGGUGUAGCGGUGAAAUGCGUAGAGAUCUGGAGGAAUACCGAUGGCGAAGGCAGCCAUCUGGCCUAAUACUGACGCUGAGGUACGAAAGCAUGGGGAGCAAACAGGAUUAGAUACCCCCGUAGUCCCUGUCUCUUAUAA
rnacentral:rRNA from 1 species